rnacentral:lncRNA from 1 species
UCUAUCUCGUAGCAGCCCAAAAACACCAAGGGAAAGCCCGCCCAGGCCCACCUACAAUCCGGCCCAGAACCAAUUUCCUCAGUCUAUGAAGAAACGCGCACCAGCCUCGCAACCGAGCCACCAUCGUUGCCACUUAUGCGCCAUCGCUGUCCCGCUUUCAAGGUAACCCCACCACCACGCUCCACAGCUAGGAGGUUCAGACCCGAAACCAAUCGAGGAGGAACCAGGUCGCCAACAAUCAAAACAAUGGCCCCCUGCUAUCGCCUCCGCCAGCAACCUGAGCCAAUCUCGUUGUCGUCCUUCACCAAGAUGAAUUGAUCAGUUUAAAAGCCACCCACCAGUGAAGCCAUCAGACCGAGCCACCCUUGAAAUUAGGCCAUAGACACCAUCCGUCCGGCAGCAGCCGCGUCAGCAGCGCGUCCAAGACGGGUACUGCUGCCAGCUACCGCCGGACUAGCUACGUAUUGAACAACGCCUGCUAGAGUUUAGAGGAAAGAUAGCGGCUAGAGAGAC